CGGAAACUUCCAGCUCCGGGAUUCUGCGGAAAGUUGGGGUCGCGAGGCCAGGGUGACAGCAGCGCCUCCAGGGCCGGCGCGACGCAGACCUCGGACAGCCCGUGGGCCGGACAUGAACUUGACCGCGGCUGCCGCCCGCCAGCUCCGCAGGGAUCCCGGGACGAGCUGAAACUGUCACACACCCUGCCCUGUGCUGAGCACUGGGGAUCCAGAGAUGAAUUGAACAUGACCCUACCUUGAGAAGCUGCUGGAUGCCCCCGUGCAAUUACAACACCCGGACAAGCUUCUCUGAGCUAACUUCCCAUCCAGAAAAAGUGUUUCCUACACAGUGCACUGCUGGUGGCCAUGCAGUCUUUGUUGAAUGCCCUCGAGACAGGCAGCUCACCACCUCCCUUGGGGUGUUUCUGCAGAAGCUGUAGGAGGAAGCCUCCUGGGUACCCCUGGGUCUUUACUGGUAGGACCAGAUGUAGGACAGUUUCACAGCAGUGGCUCUGGGUCUAACACACAUAGUUGUACCAGGGAAAACACACACCUGGUAAAUAGGUCCUAAAAACUCAGUGAGGUGCUGAUUUCGGUCUUCAGAAAAAGCACCACAAGUGAAGAAUGCAUGUUUUUAAAAACAGAGCCUUAUUUCUCACUUUUGCUGACAGCUCAUGAAGCAAGGAGAAGAGAAGGGGUUGCUGAAUGGGAAAUAAAACAAACCUAGUGCAAAAAGCUGGCUGCUGUACUCAGGAACCUAGAAGGCAAGGUCGCUGCAUCCCGAGGCCUGGGGCUCCUUGCUGGGACUGGCUACACAAUUUGCAGGGCUCAGUGUAACAUAAAAAUGUGGGGCCCUUGUUGAAAAAUGAUUAAAGCUUUCAAGGCGAUGACAGCAGAGCACCACCCCAUGUAAGGGCCCUUCUGAGUGCAGAGCCUUCCUGAGCACGGGGCCCCAUGUGGCAGACAGAUCACAGAUCCAUUCAGCUGGCCAUGCUUCUUGCACGUGCUGAGGCCCCGGAGGCCCCUAGGCAGCACUGGGGUUGGAGCAUGACUCCCCUUCUGCGUCGAUCCUUUUCUCCAUCAGUGAUGUUACAUGCUAAUCUUAGAAUGUUUUGAAUCCUCACAAAACAAGAAAAAACAUUUCAAUCACCUGUGAAACCACACUCAGAAAUAGCCAGUGGGAACACUUCACCCAGCUUCUAUCAAAACAUAAUUUGAAACAAAAUUAGCAUCUUAGCUUCUUAUUAUAUGUACCAUUUUAUCUUCUGCUUGUUCCACUAAAUACUGUAUCACAACUGUUCCCUAAGUCAGAAGAUACUAGCAGUGGAUUGCUAAGGACUGCUUAAUUGGCCACUGGAUGCGUCUCCUUAACUGACCCCAUAUUAUUGGACAUGGGUUAUUUUCAGUUGUUUCCAGUUCUCCCUGCAAUAAAUACUUUGAAGAAA